AACCACUGAUGACAAACCUUACAGUUUCUGACACCUCGUAUGAGAGCUCAGCUCCUGAUUCUAACUCUGCUCUGAGGUCG